CAACUUGGUAAUUGUCUUUAUCCUGCACAGAUGCGGGUCAGGUUCCCAGAGAUGCCCAACCCUGAUGCCAAAGAGAAUCGGAGAAAUCUGCAAGGGGCUUAAAGAGGCAGCAGCACUGCUUUUCAGGUACAACUGGUUUGUUCCACACAGGGACAUUGAGACAGGUCCCUGGAGAAGGACCUGUGAGUGAAAAGGAGGUGGUAGGUGUAGGAGCUGCGUCUUAGACGUUGUUCUGGACACCAGUUUUGAGGGAUGCUUAUACACGCCUUCUUCCUCCCUGACUCCUGGUGGGUGUCCUUCCCUCUGCUGUGGUUUCAUUGAUGCUGGGCCGAAUCCCCAGGACAGCGGCCACAUUGUCAGUCAAGUUGAGCUGACUCUCCACUUGCAGCUAAGGGUCUCAGCUUAUCCAUUUCGAGGCUGGGUAUCCUCCACCGGGUGUCUGAUCUGACUGCUCGUUGUAUUAGCAGUGCCCGUCUCCUUCCCGGCCCCAGGAUACUGCAAGGAAAGCAGAGGGACGAUCCUGGCCCCGAGCCUAGAUAGGACUC
rnacentral:lncRNA from 1 species